UACGUAGGGCGCAAGCGUUAUCCGGAAUUAUUGGGCGUAAAGAGCACGUAGGCGGUUUGUCGCGUCUGCCGUGAAAGUCCGGGGCUCAACUCCGGAUCUGCGGUGGGUACGGGCAGACUAGAGUGAUGUAGGAGAGACUGGAAUUCCUGGUGUAGCGGUGAAAUGCGCAGAUAUCAGGAGGAACACCGAUGGCGAAGGCAGGUCUCUGGGCAUUAACUGACGCUGAGGAGCGAAAGCAUGGGGAGCGAACAGG
rnacentral:rRNA from 1 species